ACUAAUUCCUUUUUCUCAUUUUUUAUAAUCCAUGGAGCUGCUCAUUUCUUACAGUUUAUGCAAUAAUUAUCAGUGUUCGUGGCAAAGUGAAAAACCUAAUUAAAUCAAAAUUAGGUUUGUGAUUUUGAAAACCUCUGAUUAACCAAAAUCAGACUGAUAACCUAUCAAGCUAUAUAUAUGUAACUGAAUCAAAGUUAGGUUCGUGAGUUUGGAAAACUGUGAUUAACCAAAAUCAACACACACACACACACAAACACAAUAAUAUACUUGUAUUUUAUUAUGUAAAAUGUAUAGACAUGUUAAAAUUAAAUAUGACAUAUUUUAUACUUGAAAAGCUUCUAGUUCUAGUUUAAAAUGUUUAAACUUUAGCUGUAAACCUGUCCAUGUGAAUUUGUGGACUUGAAUUUAUUUUCAAAUCCUUAACAUGCUGAAUUGUAUUUUAUGGCUUGUGAGAAUCCUAGAGGUAUUUGAUUUACAGUUUGUGUAGAAUUCACGUUCAAUUUGGAAUUUAUUUUCUAAAUCAUUUUUUUUUAAAUAAUGGAGUUAAGAGAGUUUCCUAAUCGUGUUACAAAAGGCUGCUUAUUGAAAUUCAUGUAAAAGUCGCUGACUACCCUUCAGAUUCAAGUUUCAUUGGCUCAGUAGUUUUUUGCCUAAAUUAUUAUCCCUUGUAAAUUCAAGAUUAAAUAAUAGAAGUGAGGGAUUUGAACUCUUGAUAGAAUUUAAAUUAUCAUAUAUUUUUCUGGUUUGAGAUUGGGAUAUUAAAUUCAUUUCAAGUUUUGAAACUUAAGCAUUAUUAAGCUAAUAAAAUUUGGAACUUAAACCACUAGUCCUCAGAUUUAAAAACUCUGAGUUAUUAGUAGUAAGUGACUUGAGGUACUAUUAAGAUUGAACUGAAUCACAUAUUUUUCAUAUAGUAUUAGAAUAUCAUAGUCUUUAUCACUUUGACUUUAAUGUUCUUGGAGAUGUCACACUACAUAAUUACAAAUCACAAACCGAAAGGUCUACAAAGUUUAAGAUUGGAUCAAAUUGAAAUGACCAACUUGAAAUCUGGCUUUGAUGAGAUUAUACUGCCUAUGUUCAGUGAUUAUCAGUCCAAUAGCUUUGUACACUAAACAAAUGAUCUGAUUGAAAUAAUUAAUGAUGAGUAACUUGAGUUCUUAUAUAAAAUUCAUCAUUACAUUUUUUUCUGUUAGGAUUUGAAGUAUUUUAUUGACCUAAAUGCUCUGUUCUUGACUUUGUUGGAAUUCUUGCACCUUGUUGGUACUGUCACAGAAUCAUAAAUAUAUUGUGUUAAAUGAAUGUUUAAUCAGAGAUUGACUUCUCUGUUAUACAACUAAUGGUUAGAUUGAAUAGCAGAGUGAAUUGCUUGUGAGAACACCAUAAAGUGAUUGAGAACAAGGAUCAUUGGAUUUCUCUAUGACAUUGAUAAAAUUAUCAAAAGAAAAAGAAACUUGCUUUGUUAUAAUUUUGAAGUAUUCUCAUAAGUUUCUAUUUAUUUGAUGUUUCUAAUUAUGAAGGUAUAAACUUUUUUUUUUCUCUGAAAGACAAACACCACCACAAGCACACUCCAAGGAGGUGCCACCCAUGUACCAAAUAGGAAUUUGCAGCUCUGUCAAAAUAUCAACCAGAUCACCCAGGUCCUCAUCUCUAAAAAUGAGCACAAAGUAGACAAAGGAAUAAGAUGGAUAAGCUUCUUUCUACUCUUGUCAUCCCAGAGACUCUGCUAAGCUGAAAUCUCGUCAGCCAUCUGUCCUGUCAUAACUCAGUUAAGGCCAAUGAACUCAAGACUCCAUGCCAAAGAUGAAAAGAGAAAGAGCACCAUGACAGGAAGUAAGGGUCCCAAUCUCUCUUUUAUAAAGGCAGCAACUGUUUGCCAAAAACUUUCCUCUCUUCUUUUCAUCCAUCAACUGUAAGGAUUCUCUCUCCCUGCCUUCCAAGCAAAAAAAGCAAUUGUAGAUGUUGCAUUUAACUUCCACUUUAGCUUCAAGGAAAGGCAUUUCGAGUCAAUUGGGGUGAGCAAGAUUCAUGAAAAAUGAGUUCACCUCUACAAAAUUGCUGGCCCCAGGCUUCCAUAUAGGACCAUCUGUCCCAUUGGGAGAGAGAAUAAAAUGGGACAGAGUAUAAACGAGUCUUAAAUAUUCUUCUUCUCCCAAUUAGGCUUCUGAAAAUCCACCUCGCACAGUAUACAACCGCUCGAGACAUGAUAGAGCUCACUCACCAAAGCUUUCUUAUAGUCAAGGAGAAGAUAACAAGAAGUUAUUGUUCGAAGACCCCUUCCCACCACAUGAUCUAUCCAAAUUUAACCUUCCUCCAAAACAUAACCCUCAACUGAAUACAUUUGAGUACUUUCCCCAUCUUGCAUUGAUGUUCUUCUAUAAACUCAGCUCAUGCACCUCCUAUAAGGCUUAGCUCUCCAGCCCUUAAUAUCCAACCAAACUUGGCCUGAGCUGACCUCCGCCGAACUUCCUUCCUCCAACAUGAAACUCUAUAAUUACUUUCCUAUAAGUGCAUUAUGGAUCUAAUACCAAGGCCCCCAAGAAAAGAGGCUGUUUCAUAACCUUCCAUGUCAUGGGAUGGAAACUUCUUUGCUCCCUAAAUCACCCCAAAUGAAUGAACAUUACAGAGCCUCAAGCUUUUUUGCCUCUGAAACAGGAAGAAACAAAGACAAAUAAUAUAUUGAAAGAUUAGUCAGAGGAACUAUAAAGUAAACUGUUUCUAUGGUAUUUGCUGCAAUCCUUAUGCUGAAUCUUUAUAUGUAAUAUUAUAUGAAUAGCUAUGACAAGAAUAGGGAAAGUAAGAGUAGGAAGUUAAUUAUGGAGGAAA